UACAGAGGUCUCAAGCGUUGUUCGGAUUCAUUGGGCGGAAAGGGUGCGUAGGCGGCGGGGUAAGUCGGAUGUGAAAUCCCAGGGCUCAACCCUGGAACUGCAUUCGAUACUGCCUUGCUAGAGUGCUGGAGAGGAGACUGGAAUUUACGGUGUAGCAGUGAAAUGCGUAGAUAUCGUAAGGAAGACCAGUGGCGAAGGCGAGUCUCUGGACAGUUACUGACGCUGAGGCACGAAGGCCAGGGGAGCAAACGGG
rnacentral:rRNA from 1 species